AAAUGAAUAGACGGGGACCCGCACAAGCAGCGGAGCAUGUGGUUUAAUUCGAAGCAACGCGAAGAACCUUACCAAAACUUGACAUCCCUCUGACCGGUCUCUAAUAGGACCUUUCCUUCGGGACAGAGGUGACAGGUGGUGCAUGGUUGUCGUCAGCUCGUGUCGUGAGAUGUUGGGUUAAGUCCCGCAACGAGCGCAACCCUUGUCAUUAGUUGCCAGCAGUUCGGCUGGGCACUCUAGUGAGACUGCCGGGGAUAACUCGGAGGAAGGUGGGGAUGACGUCAAAUCAUCAUGCCCCUUAUGUUUUGGGCUACACACGUGCUACAAUGGCCGGUACAAAAAGAUGCAAUCUCGUGAGGGGGAGCAAAACUCAAAAACCGGUCCCAGUUCGGAUUGUAGGCUGCAACUCGCCUACAUGAAGUUGGAGUUGCUAGUAAUCGUGAAUCAGAAUGUCACGGUGAAUGCGUUCCCGGGUCUUGUACACACCGCCCGU
rnacentral:rRNA from 1 species